rnacentral:rRNA from 1 species
UACGUAGGGUGCGAGCGUUAAUCGGAAUUACUGGGCGUAAAGCGUGCGCAGGCGGUUAUGUAAGACAGAUGUGAAAUGCCCGGGCUUAACCUGGGAACUGCAUUUGUGACUGCAUGGCUAGAGUGUGUCAGAGGGGGGUAGAAUUCCACGUGUAGCAGUGAAAUGCGUAGAUAUGUGGAGGAAUACCGAUGGCGAAGGCAGCCUCCUGGGCCAACACUGACGCUCAUGCACGAAAGCGUGGGGAGCAAACAGG